AAUGACCUUAAUUUAAUGUCCCUGAACUGUACACCUAAAAAUGGUUAAAAUGGUAGUUUGUCAUGUAGAUUUUUACCCCAAAUUUUAAAAAGUGGGGAAAAACCUACCCUGUUUAAAGAGAAAUGUCUUAGGAAAAAAAGUCAGUGCCUGCUCUUGGCUGUAGCUCUGUCCACUGCCUGUCGUAAAGAAUUUCUGUGACUUGAGGAGGGGCAGGUCUAAGGAGAACACUUAAGAAAAAUAGUAUUUCUUGUCUCUCCCCGUUAGAGUUGAGCGAUUUGUAUUAAAAUCUAAAGUAUUUUUUCUUUAUAAUCAAUGCUUUUUAGAACAAUUACUACAUUUCUUGGUCAUGUACUGCUAUUAUUAAUCAUUCUGAUGAUAAAUAAAUGCCAAUUUCUGUGCAUGACUAAUGAUAAAAAUUAGGGAAUUAAAAGGAACCAUCCUCAUUUCAGCAACAUUAAAUAUUUACUGAAAGGAAAUUGACUUACAAACAUGAGUUUGUAGAAAAUUGACAGGUAAAUACAAAGAUACAGGAAGCCAUGCUUUUAAUCAGUUGCCAAUAAUCUAAGCCCGAUUGUGCUUUUAGCACAGGAAGAUCCAUGGCUUGGGGGUACAUUAGGGUUUUGGGUACAGCAGUCCAGGCUAGUAAGAGGUUAUAUGUUGGAAGAGAGUCUGUGGUAUGAGUUAUGGACCAAGGUCUGCACCAGACAGAAGAGAAAAAAAUAUGGAAGAGUUUGAGCUAGGAGUCCACUCUCUUCUGACUUUAAACAACCUCCUGGCUUGGAACUUUCUCCAUAGAGGUACUUGUAGGGUUAGUGUUGGCCAUAAAACGUGACUAUGGAGAUAUCAUCUGGCUAUAAGGGUGUCUCCUGAAAACUUAGAGUGAAUAGGUCACUCUACCCUCAAUUAUAUUAUAUCUUCAUCAAGUCAGCUCAGUUCAGUGUGUUAUAAAGUGAAUCCAGUAAAUAAUGACUGUCGCCAGAGCCCACGCCUUCCACUGCAGUGCACUGAACUGCCUCCAUGGAGUCCUUGGUGUUUAGAGAAGCAUGAAAUAUUGUAUCAUUUUUUUUUAAUCAGGUGGAAAAGGUAAUCCUAAUACUCUCUAUAUAUACACUUGAAAACACAGCUUCUUUGGCAAUUCCUUUCCCUGAAGCACAUUUUUUUUUGAGUGGAUAUAAAAGUAGAAAUGAUACCUAGCUUAGAAUUUUAUAAUUCAUCAAACAUUGAGUGCCCCUGUGUACCAGACAUCACACUGAGUUGCAGAAGAUAGUUCAGAUGUAAAAUUUCUCUCACUCAAGAAGAUACAAUCUGGAAGGGCCCUUUCAUUCCAUCCCAUUUCAUUCUGUCUAUUAGGAAACUCAGGCUCAGACAUGAGUGUCUGUUCCCUGAGGUUAUGCAGGUGACUAGAGGUAGGGCCCAAAAUAGAAAACAACUCAUUCUACGGCAAAUCUAUGUGAGUCCCAGUGGAAACAGGCAGCACAGUCAAACUAGGUAAUUUGGGGGAGUGCUUAUUACAGGAAUUUUUUACAAAGGUAUGGUCAGGAUUCAGGGAAAUCAGCAAAAGACAGCGAAGCACUCCAGGCCUAGGAACAGUAGGGAGGGAGCCAUUGCUACCCAUAGGCCCGAAAGAACCCAGAAAAGGAGCCGUGGCUUUCAAUAGAGGGACAUAUACAACAUGGGUGACCUAGCUGGAAGAAAGCUGGAGGAGUAAAUACCAUAACUUCAUUCUUUUACCACCCUCUAAUAUCCCACUAAGGCCUCCUAUUGGCUGAACUCAACAAGUUAAAGGCACGGGAGCCCCUUGAUGUAGUCCACAUGGGUCUGCCCCCAAGGCCCAAAGCAGAGCAGAGAGGGAAGGAGAGUGGCUUUGUAGUGCUAAGUGGAAAAUGAACACAUCAUUCCCUCUUAGAAGACUUAGUGUGCAUCUGGUGCCCAAAUGUUAAGACAUAGUUUCAGGGUUGAUCAGGCGUUGGAGGAUCUUUGACUCUCUUAUAAAUGGCAUCACAUACAAAUGCUGAGUUAUUUGAGUAUAGGAUUUUAAAACUUUCUAAUUUGAAAGAGAAAAUAAUUGUUUUAGAAUCAUAGAAUUCUAAUAACUGAAAUGCCUAGAACCUCAGCAUCCACUGGCCCAUUUCCCCCAGUAGCCCACCAAGGUGUACCAGGUCUUUGGAUAUUUCUUGCAAGAAUUACUGGGAGACUCUGAGGAAUGUCUCACAUGUAUUUAUAAACAAGUCUGUACUCAGACUCUGGACCGUUUCCUCAUAUAUCCUGUGUGUCACCCAAUUGCUAUGCUA